rnacentral:lncRNA from 1 species
GGGCCCUACACAGCACUAGGACCCACUAAAUACUAGCAGAGCAGCCUGGGAAGAGAGCCAAAGGAAGGACUUUGUUUGACCCAGCUGCCAAUCUCCCCCGAAGCCGUGCGCCAGACUAAACACUCACACUAUUUUAACUCAAAUCAGGCUACAGCAGCUGUUUGCUUUCCGGCUCUGAGCUCGGCACCCACAUGGCCUGUGUAGUUCACCCGCGAGCUUUCUUUUAAUCUGGUCACUGGAAGGGGAUUUUAUAGUCCUUGAAAAAGAGGAGUGAUAAUUUACAUCAAGAGAGAAAUGUGGAAUUUGAAGAAUCUUGGAAUUGGGAACCCUCUUCAUCUCAACAGUCCAUAGAGAGGAUUUCUAGAAUGUGAAGUUCAGAACUUACACAUUUGCGUUUGAGUGUGAAUAUUUAUCACAAAUGCACAAGUGUUGAAUUUGCAUUUGUUCCUUUGUCCCUGGGCUAACAUCUGGGUAUUGUUGUUUCUGUAAAUGAUGCUGUUUUGUAAGCGCCUACUUGAGGUGCUAAGAGGUCCUAAUUGGAUUAAUGAAAAGCACAACAUUAGUGUCAGAGCUGAAGU